GAUGAACGCUGGCGGCGUGCCUAAUACAUGCAAGUCGAGCGAACGGACGAGAAGCUUGCUUCUCUGAUGUUAGCGGCGGACGGGUGAGUAACACGUGGAUAACCUACCUAUAAGACUGGGAUAACUUCGGGAAACCGGAGCUAAUACCGGAUAAUAUUUUGAACCGCAUGGUUCAAAAGUGAAAGACGGUUUUGCUGUCACUUAUAGAUGGAUCCGCGCUGCAUUAGCUAGUUGGUAAGGUAACGGCUUACCAAGGCAACGAUGCAUAGCCGACCUGAGAGGGUGAUCGGCCACACUGGAACUGAGACACGGUCCAGACUCCUACGGGAGGCAGCAGUAGGGAAUCUUCCGCAAUGGGCGAAAGCCUGACGGAGCAACGCCGCGUGAGUGAUGAAGGUCUCCGGAUCGUAAAACUCUGUUAUUAGGGAAGAACAUAUGUGUAAGUAACUGUGCACAUCUUGACGGUACCUAAUCAGAAAGCCACGGCUAACUACGUG
rnacentral:rRNA from 1 species